UACGGAGGAUCCGAGCGUUAUCCGGAUUUAUUGGGUUUAAAGGGUGCGUAGGCGGCCUGUUAAGUCAGGGGUGAAAGACGGUAGCUCAACUAUCGCAGUGCCCUUGAUACUGAUGGGCUUGAAUGUACUAGAGGUAGGCGGAAUGUGACAAGUAGCGGUGAAAUGCAUAGAUAUGUCACAGAACACCAAUUGCGAAGGCAGCUUACUAUGGUAUUAUUGACGCUGAGGCACGAAAGCGUGGGGGAUCAAACAGG
rnacentral:rRNA from 1 species